CUACGGGAGGCAGCAGUAGGGAAUCUUCCGCAAUGGGCGAAAGCCUGACGGAGCAACGCCGCGUGAGUGAUGAAGGUCUUCGGAUCGUAAAACUCUGUUAUUAGGGAAGAACAUAUGUGUAAGUAACUGUGCACAUCUUGACGGUACCUAAUCAAAAAGCCACGGCUAACUACGUGCCAGCAGCCGCGGUAAUACGUAGGUGGCAAGCGUUAUCCGGAAUUAUUGGGCGUAAAGCGCGCGUAGGUGGUUUGUUAAGUCUGAUGUGAAAUCCCACGGCUCAACCGUGGAGGGUCAUUGGAAACUGGAAAACUUGAGUGCAGAAGAGGAAGGUGGAAUUCCAUGUGUAGCGGUGAAAUGCGCAGAGAUAUGGAGGAACACCAGUGGCGAAGGCGACUUUCUGGUCUGUAACUGACGCUGAUGUGCGAAAGCGUGGGGAUCAAACAGGAUUAGAUACCCUGGUAGUCC
rnacentral:rRNA from 1 species